rnacentral:rRNA from 1 species
AGAGUUUGAUCCUGGCUCAGGAUUAACGCUGGCGGCGUGCCUAACACAUGCAAGUCGAGCGCCCCUUCGGGGGAGCGGCGGACGGCUGAGUAACACGUUGGUACCUGCCCCAAACUCGGGAAUAAGCGCUGGAAACGGCGUCUAAUGCCCGAUAGUCUCUUCGGAGUAAAGCUUUUGCGGUUUGGGAGGGGCCUGCGCAUGAUUAGCUUGUUGGUGAGGUAAUGGCUCACCAAGGCUUCGAUCAUUAGAUGGUCUGAGAGGAUGAUCAUCCAGACUGGGACUGAGACACGGCCCAGACUCCUACGGGAGGCAGCAGUGAGGAAUCUUUCGCAAUGGGGGAAACCCUGACGAAGCAACGCCGCGUGGAGGAAGACGGCCUUCGGGUUGUAAACUCCUUUUAUUAGGGACGAACAUUGACGGUACCUAAUGAAUAAGAGGUGGCUAACUACGUGCCAGCAGCCGCGGUAAUACGUAGACCUCAAGCGUUAUCCGGAUUUACUGGGCGUAAAGCGUCCGCAGGCGUCCUGCUAAGUCUCCGGUGAAAUCUUCGGGCUUAACUCGGAAAUUGUCGGAGAAACUGACAGGAUUGAGUAUGACAGAGGCAGAUGGAAUUCUAGGUGUAGCGGUAAAAUGCGUUGAUAUCUAGAAGAACACCAGUGGCGAAGGCGAUCUGCUGGGUCAUUACUGACGCUCAGGGACGAAAGCGUGGGUAGCGAACGGGAUUAGAUACCCCAGUAGUCC